UGGUAGUCUCAUUGGUCUGGUCCUGCUGACGACCUGUCUGUGGCCCGACUCUGCGGACUGGUUCAAGCCAUUUAUCAGAUCGCGCGUCGAUUAAAUUAGGCCCGGCCGUCUGGGUGUGCCUGCUCUAUCCCAAUGCAUGGCUCGAAGCAAAAUGUCUCUAUUGUCCUUGUCGUUUACUUAAAACUAAUUAGAUUGCUUAAAGCUGGCGGGGGCGCCUGAAUACUGAGUGCAUGGAAUAAUGGAAUAGGACCUCGGUUCUAUUUUGUUGGUUUUAGGAAUGCCCGAUGUAAUGAUCGAUAGGAACAGUCGGGGGCAUUCGUAUUGUGACGUGAGAGGUGAAAUUCUUAGAUCGUAGCAAGACGAACUGAAGCGAAAGCAUUUGCCAAGAAUGUUUUCUCUGAUCAAGAACGAAAGUUAGAGGUUCGAAGGCGAUCAGAUACCGCCCUAGUUCUAACCAUAAACGAUGCCAGCCAGCAAUCCGCCGAAGUUCCUCCGAUGACUCGGCGGGCGACUUCCGGGAAACCAAAGCUUUUGGGUUCCGGGGGAAGUAUGGUUGCAAAGCUGAAACUUAAAGGAAUUGACGGAAGGGCACCACCAGGAGUGGAGCCUGCGGCUUAAUUUGACUCAACACGGGAAACCUCACCAGGCCCGGACACCGGGAGGAUUGACAGAUUGAUAGCUCUUUCUUGAUUCGGUGGGUGGUGGUGCAUGGCCGUUCUUAGUUGGUGGAGCGAUUUGUCUGGCUAAUUCCGAUAACGAACGAGACUCUAGCCUGCUAACUAGUCGCUUCCGACAUCCUUUUGCGCUGUCGGCGACACAUAAUCUUCUUAGAGGGACAGGCGG
rnacentral:rRNA from 1 species